AGGGCUGCAACCCGCCCUCCAUGAAGUCGGAGUUGCUAGUAAUCGCGGAUCAGCAUGCCGCGGUGAAUACGUUCCCGGGCCUUGUACACACCGCCCGUCACACCAUGGGAGUUGGGAGCACCCGAAGCCGGUGAGGUAACCGAAAGGAGCCAGCCGUCGAAGGUGAGACCAAUGACUGGGGUGAAGUCGUAACAAGGUACC
rnacentral:rRNA from 1 species